rnacentral:rRNA from 1 species
AGAGUUUGAUCAUGGCUCAGGAUGAACGCUAGCGGCAGGCUUAACACAUGCAAGUCGGGCGGCAGCGGGGUGGGAGCUUGCUCCCACUGCCGGCGAGCGGCGCACGGGUGAGUAACACGUAUGCAACCUGCCCCUGUCAGGGGGACAACCCGCCGAAAGGCGGGCUAAGCCCGCGUAUAUCGCCCCGGGGCAUCCCGGGGGGAGGAAAGGAGCGAUCCGGACAGGGAUGGGCAUGCGGCGCAUUAGCUGGUCGGCGGGGUAACGGCUCACCGAGGCGACGAUGCGUAGGGGUUCUGAGAGGAAGGCCCCCCACACUGGUACUGAGACACGGACCAGACUCCUACAGGAGGCAGCAGUGAGGAAUAUUGGUCAAUGGGCGGGAGCCUGAACCAGCCCAGCCGCGUGAGGGAAGAAAGUACAACGUAUCGUAAACCUCUUUUGUC